rnacentral:rRNA from 1 species
CCUACGGGAGGCUGCAGUGAGGAAUAUUGGUCAAUGGACGAGAGUCUGAACCAGCCAAGCCGCGUGAAGGAUGACUGCCCUGUGGGUUGUAAACUUCUUUUAUAUGGGAAUAAAACGUUCGACGUGUGGGCGUUUGUAUGUACCAUAUGAAUAAGGAUCGGCUAACUCCGUGCCAUCAGCCGCGGUAAUACGGAGGAUGCGAGCGUUAUCCGGAUUUAUUGGGGUUAAAGGGAGCGUAGGUGGAUUGUUAAGUCAGUUGUGAAAGUUUGCGGCUCAACCGGAAAAUUGCAGUUGAAACUGGCAGUCUUGAGUACAGUAGAGGUGUGCGGAAUGCGUGGUGUAGCGGUGAAAUGCUUAGAUAUCACGAAGAACUCCGAUUGCGAAGGCAGUUCACUGGACUGCAACUGACACUGAGGCUCGAAAGUGUGGGUAUCAAACAGGAUUAGAUACCCUUGUAGUC